UACGUAGGGUGCGAGCGUUGUCCGGAAUUAUUGGGCGUAAAGAGCUCGUAGGCGGUCUGUCGCGUCGGUCGUGAAAACUUGGGGCUUAACCCUGAGCUUGCGGUCGAUACGGGCAUGACUGGAGUUCGGCAGGGGAGACUGGAAUUCCUGGUGCAGCGGUGAAAUGCGCAGAUAUCAGGAGGAACACCGGUGGCGAAGGCGGGUCUCUGGGCCGAUACUGACGCUGAGGAGCGAAAGCGUGGGGAGCGAACAGG
rnacentral:rRNA from 1 species